UACGGAGGGUGCAAGCGUUAUCCGGAUUCACUGGGUUUAAAGGGUGCGUAGGUGGGCAAGUAAGUCAGUGGUGAAAUCUCCGGGCUUAACCCGGAAACUGCCAUUGAUACUAUUUGUCUUGAAUACUGUGGAGGUCAGCGGAAUAUGUCAUGUAGCGGUGAAAUGCUUAGAUAUGACAUAGAACACCAAUUGCGGAGGCAGCUGGCUGCACAAAUAUUGACACUGAGGCACGAAAGCGUGGGGAGCAAACAGG
rnacentral:rRNA from 1 species